AUGAAAAUGCAGAUCAAGAUAGUAGUCCUAUCUUCCAUGUGAUGAAGCUUUCAAGCUCAUUUUGAUUAUCAGUUGUGCUAGCACUUAUGUGUACUAUGUGAGUAUGGCUAAUUUCAUUUAGCUGUUAAUUGGCUAUAUGAAUUAUAACUGCCACUUCAAGAUAUGUCAAAUAAAAUAAACACAAUCUAUAUUGAUGUAGGUGAUUAGAGGAUGGAAGGAUGCAGUUCCUUGAUAAACUGAACUUGUGGAGCAACAACUGGUAGAAAGAAAAGGGCGAGAGAGUGCGUUACUGGAAUUGUGUGGACAUGGGUUAGGCUGCUGUCAGCCUGUCAUACAAAAAUAGAAGACAUGGUUUAUCUCACCACUUUGUGCCGAAUUAUGGAAGGAAGAAAGGACAAAAGAAUGGCAUUCAGAGCAACAAUUGAGCAAGCACAACUGCGUUAGCACGGGCCAACUUACUAGUUCAAGAAAA